UACGUAGGCAGCGAGCGUUGUUCGGAAUUACUGGGCGUAAAGAGUGUGUAGGCGGUGCUCUAAGUUCGGUGUGAAAUCUCCCGGCUCAACUGGGAGGGUGCGCCGGAAACUGGAGUGCUCGAGCGUGGGAGAGGAAAGCGGAAUUCCUGGUGUAGCGGUGAAAUGCGUAGAUAUCAGGAGGAACACCUGCGGUGUAGACGGCUUUCUGGACCAUAGCUGACGCUGAGACACGAAAGCGUGGGUAGCAAACAGG
rnacentral:rRNA from 1 species